GGAAACUGGGUCUAAUACCGGAUACGACCAAUCUCCGCAUGGGGUGUUGGUGGAAAGCGUUAUGUAGUGGUUAUAGAUGGGCUCACGGCCUACCAGCUUGUUGGUGAGGUAACGGCUCACCAAGGCGACGACGGGUAGCCGGCCUGAGAGGGUGACCGGCCACACUGGGACUGAGACACGGCCCAG
rnacentral:rRNA from 1 species